UACGGAGGGUGCAAGCGUUACUCGGAAUCACUGGGCGUAAAGGGCGCGUAGGCGGCCUAGCAAGUCUGGAGUGAAAGCACAGGGCUCAACCCUGGAAGGGCACUGGAAACUGUUAGGCUUGAGUUCCGGAGAGGAGGGGGGAAUUCCCGGUGUAGCAGUGAAAUGCGUAGAUAUCGGGAGGAAUACCGGUGGCGAAGGCGCCCCUCUGGACGGAAACUGACGCUGAGGCGCGAAAGCGUGGGGAGCAAACAGG
rnacentral:rRNA from 1 species